ACAUCAUCUGACCACCUCAUCAUGGAUCAGUCAUGACAUCCUAAUGUAUCAUCAUCUACCCAACCACAACACUUGCCACAUCAAUCAUUUUAUCAUAUCAUCAUAAUGUGAGAGCAUUGUUAGCCACUAAUAAGACAACAAUCCAUAUCAUUAAAUUUGUUAUUCAGCCACAUCAGUUUGCUAUACAAUCGACACAUCAAUCAACUAUAUCAGCAAACAUGUUAGUCUGUUACAUUAGU
rnacentral:lncRNA from 1 species